GCUCCUACCGACUGGGCGCGGCGGCGAGCGCCCCGGACGCGCGAAGGGCCGCGAGCCCCCGCGCCUGGAGGAAGGAGAAGUCGUAACAAGGUAUCC
rnacentral:rRNA from 1 species